GUGCUUAUUUUAACAGCAUGCAAUCUAAAAUGGGAACAAUGCAGACAAGAUUAGCCCAGCCCCUGAACAAGGAUAACAAGCAAAUUCAUAAAUUGUUCCAUAUAUAU
ensembl:snRNA U6 U6 spliceosomal RNA